AUGAUAGUACCAUAACUCUUACAAGUUGUCCACUGAUAAUAAAAAAUGUAAAAAAAAGUGCCAGAUUAGGAUAUACCCUGUACCCGAAUUCAGACCUAGUAUAUGCAAAACUAGACUUCAUUGUUUGGAUAGUCUAAUCCUUAUAAUGUUUAUUAUUUUAUCUCUUGACCUAUUAAAAAGUUUCUGAAUCCUGCCAAGCUGCAAAGCACAAAAAGAAUAGCAUAAAAUCCAGAUCAAAGGCGGGGAGGUGUCUGUGUAUUCUGUUGAUGUCUGUGUGCACUUUAAAACUAUUACAUGACUCCAUUAUGAUAAUUCACUCCAGUACGCAGUCUAUUAAUAACCAAUUACAAAUGAUUUAGUAUUAAAUUUUUGAAGCGUAUUCGGCAGCAUUAAAAACAAAAGUUUCCCGAGGUGCCGACCCUAGCUCAUUUCCUGUUGA